rnacentral:rRNA from 1 species
UACGUAGGUGGCAAGCGUUGUCCGGAAUUAUUGGGCGUAAAGCGCGCGCAGGCGGUCCUUUAAGUCUGAUGUGAAAGCCCACGGCUCAACCGUGGAGGGUCAUUGGAAACUGGGGGACUUGAGUGCAGGAGAGAAAAGUGGAAUUCCACGUGUAGCGGUGAAAUGCGUAGAGAUGUGGAGGAACACCAGUGGCGAAGGCGACUUUUGGCCUGUAACUGACGCUGAGGCGCGAAAGCGUGGGGAGCAAACAGG